CAAAAGGCUCAAUGCUGUUCACUGCAUUCUCCUCCUUUUGUCCUUCUUGUGUGCUGAAGAUUGAGUCCUGAGCCUUGUUUGGUAGCUCUGGGAAUUUGGGCAAAUCCUUACCCUCGGUGGCCCUUUCUCGUCUAACGGUGCCUGACUGGUUGUGGAUGACAGCACAUGCUGGAAUAUAUACCGUCUCCGGUAUCUGCCUGGAUUGAAGAUGAGAGGAUGAGACUCCUCUCACAUGCUUCCACAUAAAAUUGUCCCCAGGCCACCUGCACAGAAGGCUGGACCAGUGGACCACAGGGCAGUGGGCUAGAAGAAGAGCAUACUGGGUAGGCCAGAGCUGAACUGCCCUGGAGAACAAGCCUGAAGUUCACUUCCGGCAUUGCUUCUCAGCCUGGAAAUCAGUAGACUUUUGAGCCUACUUUUCAUAUCUGGGUGAGACGUGGUGAUUGUAUCUAGGGCAGGUAGGGAUGUGCUGGGGGUGAAUGAAAUCGAGGCUUAAACAUGACAUGGCUUUCAGAGCAGGCCGGAAGUCCUUGUAAGACAAGACAAAUGUCACCCGAUCAUGCAGCAGAAUGACAC
rnacentral:lncRNA from 1 species